UACGAAGGGGGCUAGCGUUGCUCGGAAUCACUGGGCGUAAAGCGCACGUAGGCGGCUUUCUAAGUCAGGGGGUGAAAUCCUGGAGCUCAACUCCAGAACUGCCUUUGAUACUGGCGAUCUCGAGUCCGGGAGAGGUGAGUGGAACUGCGAGUGUAGAGGUGAAAUUCGUAGAUAUUCGCAAGAACACCAGUGGCGAAGGCGGCUCACUGGCCCGGUACUGACGCUGAGGUGCGAAAGCGUGGGGAGCAAACAGG
rnacentral:rRNA from 1 species